rnacentral:rRNA from 1 species
GAUGAACGCUGGCGGCGUGCCUAAUACAUGCAAGUCGAGCGAACGGACGAGAAGCUUGCUUCUCUGAUGUUAGCGGCGGACGGGUGAGUAACACGUGGAUAACCUACCUAUAAGACUGGGAUAACUUCGGGAAACCGGAGCUAAUACCGGAUAAUAUUUUGAACCGCAUGGUUCAAAAGUGAAAGACGGUCUUGCUGUCACUUAUAGAUGGAUCCGCGCUGCAUUAGCUAGUUGGUAAGGUAACGGCUUACCAAGGCAACGAUGCAUAGCCGACCUGAGAGGGUGAUCGGCCACACUGGAACUGAGACACGGUCCAGACUCCUACGGGAGGCAGCAGUAGGGAAUCUUCCGCAAUGGGCGAAAGCCUGACGGAGCAACGCCGCGUGAGUGAUGAAGGUCUUCGGAUUGUAAAACUCUGUUAUUAGGGAAGAACAUAUGUGUAAGUAACUGUGCACAUCUUGACGGUACCUAAUCAGAAAGCCACGGCUAACUACGUG